CGUAAAGUGGUAGUGCUAUAAGAAAAAUAGUCUUCUUGUUAUACGAUAUCCUUAUUUGACAUUACUUAGAAAAGAAUUCUCUUUUUGUGGUUAAAAACAGGGUAGAGACAAAAAGAGAAAGGGAGAGAGGAUUGGAAGGAUGCGUAUUCUUUGCACAUUACUUGGAAAUUAUGAACGAAGACAAUUACACGAGUUGUCAGUGAUUAUUGUAACGAAUAAGAUCAAGGU